GCAGCUCAGGGGCAGAGCCUCUGCUUCGCAUGCAGAAGGUGUUGGGUUCAAUUCCUGGCAACUCCA